UCCAGUGGUAGUCAGCUGUCCAUGACAUGACCAUGUCUGUGAUGGUGUUACACAACUGGGAGAGGAAAGUACUGUCCAUUUGAGCUGGUUGUCAUUGGCUCUGUUCUGGAGGUAUCCGACACCAGUGUGGGAUCAGUAUCUUGCUUGUCUGAGAGUGUGCUGUGCAGUCAACAACCUGCUCAGCACUAGUCUGAAAGCAUACAUG